rnacentral:rRNA from 1 species
GUAAGGAAUAUUGGACAAUGGACGCAAGUCUGAUCCAGCCAUGCCGCGUGAAGGAUUAAGGUCCUCUGGAUUGUAAACUUCUUUUAUAAGGGACGAAAAAAGGCUUUUCUAAGUCGUCUGACGGUACCUUAUGAAUAAGCACCGGCUAACUCCGUGCCAGCAGCCGCGGUAAUACGGAGGGUGCAAGCGUUAUCCGGAUUCACUGGGUUUAAAGGGUGCGUAGGCGGGCAGGUAAGUCAGUGGUGAAAUCCUAGAGCUUAACUCUAGAACUGCCAUUGAUACUAUCUGUCUUGAAUAUUGUGGAGGUAAGCGGAAUAUGUCAUGUAGCGGUGAAAUGCUUAGAUAUGACAUAGAACACCUAUUGCGAAGGCAGCUUACUACGCAUAUAUUGACGCUGAGGCACGAAAGCGUGGGGAUCAAAUAGGAUUAGAUACCCGAGUAGUCC